rnacentral:lncRNA from 1 species
GGGCCACUCCCGAGGCAUAUGGAGGUUCCCAGGCUAGGGGUCGAAUCGGAGCUGUAGCCGCCGGCCUAUACCAGAGCCACAGCAAUGCCAGAUCCUUAACCCACUGAGCAAGGCCAGGGAUCGAACCCGCAACCUCAUGGUUCCUAGUUGGAUUCGUUAACCACUGAGCCACGACGGGAACUCCCGCUUUUGUCCAUUUGAACACAUUAUUAUGUUGAAUUCUUUAGUACAUUUCAUCCUUUAGGAUUGCAUUUUACCUUGGGAUCAUUUCCUCUACUUCAUUGCAUUUGAAACAUUGUAGCCUAGAAGCCUCCUGAUGCUAACAGUAAGUUAGAAAUGACAAACUAGGUAAACAAGCAUUUUAUAAUUGAGUGUAACCUAAAUGUAAGAAAAUGGCACUUGAAUGAAAAAGGGUAUCCUGUACGACAAGAUAAAUGUUUUCUUCUCUUUUUAAUUUGGGGAAUAUAUAGUAGAAGAUUAAAAUUUUAUAUUAUGUUUCUUAAUUCUGUUAUGAUCAUUGUGGUGACUUAUAGUAAAGUUUUGUCAUGAUGGUUUAAGUUAAAUGUUAGAAUAGAUUUUCUGUAAUUCCUAUUGCCUUUCCUAAAUUCAAAUUCAAAGUUUCUAAAAUAAUUAGUGGCUUAAAAGAUACGUAUUUAUUCAAAAUGUGUAAACUAGAAGUUGUGUUAAAAUAAAAGCAAAGCUUGAAUAUACACACACAUACACAUUUAUAAUAGUGGUGUGUGUGUAUAAAAUGUUAAAGGGGCAGAGCCUUAUGGACAUACCACAACCACUGAAUGUCUUAAAUUUUAAAGGUAAUCUUUGAAAGAAAACUGAAACACAAUACAUUCAUCUUUAUGUUUUUUUUUUAUCCUGAAUGGUUUCAGAGUGAGGUUUCUUUGUGUUCCAGUAUGAUUCCAGACUAACUGAAUUGAGUUGUGCCAAAGGCUAUGGGCAUAUUUCAGCUCAACAAGAUGUUAAUGAUCCAAGGUAUCCAUUUUUAUGAUCUUUAUAUAAUCUAUACCAUUAAAACCUGUACCAUUUCCCAAAGACUUUAGAAGGAACACAUGUUUUUACCUCCUGUGCAUCACAAAAGGCUUACAUUUCCUAGGUACUCUGUUCUUUACAUUUUCCUGCGGGCUUGCUUUCCAGAGGACCCUGAAGACGGAGAGACCAUUGAGGAUUCCUCUUCAGAAAGCAAACACAUUGGGUUGCUUUGUUUCAGGGUUAUCUGAAAGUUGAAUACCUUCCUGAGAAAUUGUUUCUACAGUGAUUCCCAAUUUUCUGCUUGAAAGGUUAUGAUCAGAUCAUCUCUGGUAGGAAUUUUUAGUUGAGAUUUUUUUUCUACUGCUGAAGUUGGGGGACAUUUGCUAGCACAUGUUAAAAUUUCCUUUUCUAUUGUAGUUAACAUUUACAAUUUUUAGCACCCACUAAAAUGAAUUAUCCAAAGCAUAUAGCUUAAAACUGAUAGACUUAAUUCCAAGAAAGAAUAAAUGCAUAUAAUAUUAUAAAAUGAAAGGUGGGAAGACUGUGGAUAAAACAUUAAAAAAAUAAUAAUAAUCUUUGAAAUAGCUUUAAGAUGUAAAGAUUUUGCUAAAGAAUCAACAAUGUUUCCUGAAACUGAAUAACCACACAGGAAAAUAUUUAAUAUAAGUUUAUAUAAUAACCGCAUGCUUCAAUAAGCAAAGAACUUGGAUUAAAAAAAACUCUUAUUUUCUUUUGGUUUCUACUUUUUAAGUAUCAGCUAAAAAAAAAAACUAACUUUCUUAAACUAUUCUCAUUGUCUGUCUAUAAUGUCACCUCAAUAACAUCAUUCAUUCCCAGGGAGUAAACUUUAAUUGAAAUAAUGUGUAACAUUCUUCACGUAGACAAAGUAAUAAUAACAAUAUUGCAUCCUAUGUGGAAUUUACAGAUCUAAUGUGACACAUAUCAUCCAAGAAUAACUCUACAAAUUAAAAAUGCUCCAUGUACUGGAAUUCUGUGUAAUAAAAAACAAAAAGGAAACUUUACAUCUUUUUCAGAAACUAAAAUCACUAAUUCUCUUCAUUAUAUCUGACCUCCGGAUUAUUCUAUGAUACAGUACAUUAAAUAUAGAAUGUUAUGUUUCUAAAUACCAAAAUUAUUUAAAUUUUGCCUCAAUAAGCUCCAUUCUAGAAAUAACUGCUUCUAAUCUGUCUAAAAAUGAAAUAUAUGUGGAGUUACGUAUAAAUAUGUAAAUGUAAAUCAAUUCUAGAGAAUUCACCUCAGUCUGAUGUACCUAAAAUCAAAAAUUAUUAAGAAUAUUAAAACUAUUAUUUAAAUAUUAUAAUUUAUGGAUCAUUCCCCAAAGUAAUAAACAUUAGAUGAUGACAAUAAAAUAGUGAAUUUCAAGGUACCUUGAAAAAAUUUAAAUUCUCAAAUAUUUAUACUAAAUAAGAAUAUAUUAUAAUUCAUAUUUUGUAUUUUUAUGUACUGAGUAGCUGUGUUUGUCUAGACAGUAGUUUGGUUGAGCCUAUAUAAAAAAGAGAGAGGAGAGAAACCUCAAAUUUAAAGUCAUAGUUUUAGAAAGCCAUAAAUCCCCUUUCCUAAAUUUGGAUUCAACCUCUGAUUUUAUUGUAUUCCUAACUUUGUUUUUCAUAAAUGUGUCUAUUAUGUUAAUGAAAUACUGAGAUUUGAGUUGUUAACAUCUCCAUUGUAGCCAAAACAUCCAGUUGAAAUUGAAUGUGACACGUUAUGGUCUUCCUGUUAUGGCUCAGCAGAUUAAGAAUCCGAUAUAUGAGGAUGCAGGUUUGAUCCCUGGCCUCACUCAGUGGGUUAAGGAUCUGGCAUCGCUGUGGCAUAGGUCUAUAGCAGCAGAUCUAGUUCGACCCUUAGUCCAGGAACUUCCAUAUGCCACAAGUGUGGCCUUAAAAAAAAAAAAAAAAAGCAUUAAUAUAUAUGUAUAUAUGUAUAUAUAUAUAUGCAGGAGCAAAACCAUUUUCAGAGAAAAGAGAAUAUCUAUGAAUUUAUAUAGCAUACAAAAAAUAAAACAUGACAAUUGAAAAGUUAAUUUUUUUUCCUCUACAUUACCUUAUAUCCAUAGAAAACACCUUUUUGUUUUUUUUUAUUUAUUUUUAUUUAUUUAUUUAUUUAUUUUUGGCCACGCUUGUGGCAUUGGGAAGUUCUUGGGCCAGAGAUCUAACCUGUUGCAGCAGUAAUCAGAGCCACAGCAGUGAUGAUGCCACAUCCUUAACCCACUAAGCCACUAGGGAACUCCAGAAAGCACAUUUUAUUUUUAUUUAUUUGUUUAUUUAUUUUGUCUUUUUAGGGCCACACCUGCAGCACAUGGAGGUUCCCAGGCUAGGGGUCUAAUCGGAGCUACAGCUGCAGGCCUACGCCACAGCCACAGCAAUGCCAGAUCUGAGCCAUGUUUGCAACCUACACCACAGCUCACAGCAAUGCCGGAUCCUUAAUCCACUGAAUAAGGCCAGGGAUAGAACCUGCAUCCUCAUGGAUGCUAGUCAGAUUCGUUUCCACUGAGCCCUGACAGGAACUCCCAGAGAGCACAUUUUAAAGCAAACACUCACAUAGAACAAAAUAGUGAAGUAUAAAAAAUAAGAACAAGAACUAAUGUACAAUGAAAAUACUGAGAAACCAGAUUAUACUUCCUGAGAAAGAAGUCUUGAUGGGACAAAAAUUCUGGUUUCAUUCACUCAUUCAUUCAAAUCAUUAAUAAAGGAAUUGCAUUCUGUCAAGAAUUGGGCUACACAAAUGAUACAGCAUUCUUACUUCAAAUUAUUUUAAUAUAAUUGAGUUUUGGAAAGUGUAGGAAAAAAAGAGACUAUAUUACAACACAGUGUAAUAAUUUCUAUGGUAGAGCUACAACAGGUGUUAUCAGAACAUAUAGAGGGUUCCCCAAAGCUGAACUUUGGAGGCAGGAGAAUCUUAGAGAAGGUUGUGGAGAAGGUUGAGUUCUGGAAGACAAACAAGUCAUCCAAGUGGAGGGACGAAAGACAAGCAACCAUUGG